UUGCGCACAAUCAGUCAUUUCACUUAUGAAAUGGUCAAUAACACAGAGAAAAAUCGCCAGGGAGGGCGAUUUUAGGAAGCGCAGGACAGGAUGUCCGUUGCUUCCGGCUCGUCCGGUUGAAUACCAUAUAUCCAUUUCAUUAGUGAAAUCUGAUUGGAAACUU
rfam:Lachnospiraceae bacterium 28-4 genomic scaffold acPFn-supercont1.4, whole genome shotgun sequence.